CGGCUGUGAUGAGGCGCGGGUCCCGGCCCCCAGAUUGUGAUGUCUCAGGGGGCGGUGGGCCGGGUGACGCAACUGGGGGUGGGCCCGUGGGUCCCAGUACCUGGUCCAGGAGGCAGCGUCUCCCUCCCGUCCGGGAUAAGACACCCCCUCCGCGGGUCCCCUGUCCACUCUGGAGAGGCAGCCCCCACUUGGAGGGACCAGGACCCGAGCCCUGCCCAUCCCCGAAUCCUGGGAGCCCUGCGUGGGGAGUGUCGAGGGCCUGGGUCGGGGGGCAAACUAGUGUGGAGCCAACUUUAAUGGAGGACCUAGCAAGUGCCAGGCAGCAUUCUGAGCCCUGGAAUCCGGUGAUGAACAUGACAGACAAGAUUCCUGCCCCCAAGGAGCUGCACCUUAAUAAGUCCCGCAAUGAAGGAGACAGAACAUAAACAGAGGAAAAUACACAAGAUGCCAGCUUGUGAGAAGUGCUAGCAAAAAAAGACACAAGUAUGUCCAGAGAGUCUGAGGUGUAUACAGGUAUACAGAGUUCAAUUCUUCUGGGGCAGAUGGCAGGAAAACGUUCUAAAAAUAAGUACCAUGUUUUUAGUAGAAGCCAUGUCAGAGGCUUGAUGUGCAUUUUUUCUAACUUGUACAACAAACCAUGAGGUAAACAACAUUUUCCUACUUUGUAGAUGGGGAAACUGAUGUUGAGAGAAGUUGAGUCACUUGUCCAAGGUCACACAGCAGGGUGAGGGUGGCCUCACACUGGUGUGUCCCAAAGGGCAUCUGGUGUCCAGUGUUGUUCUCUUGGUAGAGGUGAUGAGGCCUAAUGAAGCCAAGAAAGAUAAGUGGAUGUUUUCCUGGUGGGCAAUGGUCAAGGGAAGUGAAGGGAGCCCGGUGAGCAAAGCUGCUGUGUGUGAAACUGCCUGGUGUGGUCCAGGAGCUCAGUGUAGCCUGGGCCAAGCAUAUGAGCUGGGAGGGAAGGGUGGAGGGCCGGAUCCAGAGGGAGAGUGGGUUCUUGGUUAUGGAGCCACGGCAGGUGCGAGGCUGGGGAGGGACACUGGUAGGCUCCCGUUGAAACUCAGCCAUCUAGAGCCCAUUUUCCCGUAGGCCUCCAGCUCCUCAGCUGCAGGAAGGAGGCUGUAUGGAGUUCAGAGCACAGGCUCUUCAAUCGGACGGCACAGCCUGGAUACGUGGUGGGCUUAGCAAUUUGCUCUUGUGAGAUACAAUGCGAUUUCUCAGUAAAUUCUGCAUCUCAGCUUUGGCUUCAUC
rnacentral:lncRNA from 1 species